AAUUCAGCUAAAGGGGACACGCACAUGGGAAAUUCUAACUCCUUUAGUUAACAUUUAGCAAAAUUUGUAUCAGCUGAAAGCAGGGUCUUAUUGAGUGUAGGUAGUGUAAAGUGUUUUUGUAGUGAGGGAUAACAGCUUUAUCUGCCACAGGUGAGUGUGGGUAUGCACACAGGCUGGGAGGGUGGUGCUGGCACAACCCCUUUGACAAAUCACAUUUACCUGAGACCAAACACAUGCCAAAUCAAAAGGAAGGCCCUAAGCUCUUGGGAUGGGUUUGGGAAUAAUGUUCUGAACAGGGUUAGGGUGAAAUUGUGCUAAGGCAGAGAUAGUGUUGGUCCACUAGCUGCAAACCUGGGAUUUUGCUCUGACCCAGGGGUAAAAGCAAUGUGGAAAUCCUCUGUAACCAAAUAGUCACCCCUCAUGUUUUUAUACCCUGAAAGGGUUUGAGAUAAUUAGCACAUUCACAUCCAGGUGACACAUCUGGUGCCUGUAUAUAUGUGUGUAUAUUUAUAGCCAGCCAAAAUCUAACACCACUGCAUAUUGAAAUGGUCAAAGUAGAGAGGACUCUCUUGCUGAGCAGAAUGGCAGCAGAAGACAAUUAGUGCACAGAUAAAGGAAUUGUGUUAUCUCCUGGUGCUGUUCAAGUUGUUGGGAAUUUUCCUUUGACGCCAGCAGUGAUGGGAGCUGAACUGAGACACUUGCCUUUUUAUGGACACAUUUUUCUUUUCAGCUCAGAGAUAAAGAUUUUUGGAGGAGGAAGGCAGUGACUAUCAAGACAGAAGAUGGCCGUGAAGGCAGCAAUUGCCUUGGCAGGUCUGAGUGCUGUGGCACCCAAACACAAAUGCUUGAACAGGAGGGAAGAGAACUCGAAACUGGGACCCUCCUAGGAGAGAAAUAGUGCAGAGCAAGUGAAGGGGAGCACAGGACAGCAGGACAGAGGGAGGAUUUAAGCCUUUCCAAUACAAGCCAGGAGUAAUAGCUGGGAGAGAUCUUGGAUUUCUAUGGAUUUUGGCUCAGACCAGACUUCUUUCCACUUCCCAAGGAAAGUGCACUGAUAGCCUGAUUUAUGCACCCACCUUUUGCUGGGACUUAAUGAACGAUUUUAUGGCACACAGCUUUUCCAGCAGUGUAUGCUGGCCUCCCUGCACAGCAAUAAUUGCACAGCAGAUGUGUAUGGCCAUGGGACAUCCAGCUGAUGACAAAAGGUGUGGUGACAGGAGUGACUCUGCAUUUCUCUCCUUUCUCUUCUUCCCAGGUUCUCCCAGGCAGGAAACACUGCCAAGGACAGGCUGGAAGUUCACGUAGCUUUCCUGUGGAUUGAACCUUCUUUCUUUCUGACUGUGUUCUUACAUUUCAGUGAGGCACAUCAGCCCUUGAGGGACAUUGCAGCUGGCACAAGGCUUGGCUCUGGGGAAGUGUAUCCUUGGGAAGCUCACUCAUUUUGCUUGCUGUUGGGUCAGCCCACCAUGUCUUAAGUCUCUGUGUUAAUUGCAAAACCUCUGUCCAACACUCCAACAGGGCAAGUAAAAAAGAAGCUGCAGCAUUUUCUGGCUUUAUUUCAGCAGUUUAAUAUGGUACUUAACCUCUCUAGCUUCCUUCUGUGAGCUUUGCUUAUGUGGGUGUUGGGGAAGCUGCUUUCUGCUGUGUUCUGCCUUUUGCCUGUGCUUUUUACCUCUACUUGAUAAAGCUGCUAUUUCCACAGGAGGACCUGGAAAUCCUGGCACACUGAGCACUCAGUACCUGCCUUUGCUGGUCACCUGGGGUACUGAAGGUUCAGCCCCCUCUCAGUGAUAAGGUUUGUUGAGCCAGGGUCUGUGAGGUCUCAGAAGUAAUUUGUGAAUGUCUCUACUUAAGGGAUAGGGGUGUUUUGUAGGAAAUGCCUCAGUUCUGCUGGAGAACACUUUACCUUGGCUAUCCUCAGCCAGCCAGCCCCAUCCAAUCAAGAGGAAUUCCCCUCUGGUUUUUUAAUUAACCAUCUUCCAUAUCUGGUGUUUCCUUUUUUAGAGGAUGUGAAGAAGGCACAAACCUAAUUUUUCUGAAGCUAUUUCUCUGUGCAGACUCAGCAGCAGAAUGCUACACUUGGAUUUGGAAUAGAUACCUGGAUGCUCUGAAGGGAGAUCACUGAUUUUCCCUCCUUUACUAAGAUCCUUGUUCUUGUCAGGAGCAUGAGAUGCACAUCCCAGCACACCAAAAGGAUCCUCAAGUCAUGGAAGCCACUGCAGGCUGAAAAAUGGGAGUGGUGGACAGGAUAGGGAUAAUCUUGGCAACAUAUUCCUAGGGAUCUGGAAGGAGGGAGCUGACCACACUGAAGUGACAGAACAGCUCCAGGGCAGUAAGGGACAGCCUCUCCCUGGCCAAGCUGGGGCAUGAGGGUGACCCCAGC